CUCCCUCGUUGCUGACCCCAGGUUCGAUAGUGCCAAUUAGACACCACUCGCCAAGAACCAACUUCGAUGAAGCGACGGGCGGUGUGUGCAAGGAG
rnacentral:rRNA from 1 species